rnacentral:rRNA from 1 species
UACGUAGGGGGCAAGCGUUAUCCGGAUUUACUGGGUGUAAAGGGAGCGUAGACGGCAGGGCAAGUCUGGAGUGAAAGCCCGGGGCCCAACCCCGGGACUGCUUUGGAAACUGCCAUGCUAGAGUGCUGGAGAGGUAAGCGGAAUUCCUAGUGUAGCGGUGAAAUGCGUAGAGAUCAUACAGAACACCGAUUGCGAAGGCAGCUUACCAAGCUACUUCUGACGUUGAGGCACGAAAGCGUGGGGAGCAAACAGG